GUACUACUCCCUCCGUCUAAAAAUGCUUGUCGGAGAAAUCGGUAAAAAUGGAUGUAUCUAUGACUAAAUUACGUCUAGAUACAUUUAUUUUAUUAACAAGUGUUUCCGGACGAAAGGAGUACUAA
rfam:Triticum aestivum genome assembly, contig: Triticum_aestivum_CS42_TGACv1_scaffold_499615_6BL